CAGGGAGACAAACAACGAUUUUGAUGCCUGAGUACUUUUAUUCUUAGGCCGAAAUCCUGUCACCUUAGGUCGAUCGGUACCUCAACUUCAAUCCUGUGAGUCGCAAGACUGCACAACGAUUGAUUUUUAGUUCCUAAACGUUGUCUAGGUCACCCCAUAGAGGGUUCACUUCCUGGGCCAUUAGCUCAGGUGGUUAGAGCGCACCCCUGAUAAGGGUGAGGUCCCUGGUUCAAGUCCAGGAUGGCCCAUGCCAAAAUCCAGUUUUGGAUCAUUUGGGGGUUUAGCUCAGUUGGUAGAGCGCCUGCUUUGCAAGCAGGAUGUCAGCGGUUCGAGUCCGCUAACCUCCACUAACACAUCUGAACUCCUAAGCCAGGAAGAGCUUCUGGGUUGGUGACUAGACGUUGUUCGCAGAGAAUCCACUGGUUGACCCAGAUGUAUUCAGCCUCAGCUCAUUGUUGAUUCAUGAUUGAGCUGAUGCUGAAUUCACUCUCGCAAGAGAGAGGAUUUAGCAGAACCUUGACAACUGCAUAGGUGAGUCUGGAAAGACAAAAGCAUCUCAUAGAGGCUAGUGCGAAAGCACUAGUGAUUCUAUUUUUGAGAGCCGAGACCUUCUAGCGUUCUUCCCAAUCCGCCGAGGAGAGGGGAGUUUGAUCCUUUUUUCUAACUGAUCGAGAAGCAGAGUAAUCUGAUUCUUGGUUAAGAGAAAACUGAGAGAAUGGGCCUCAACAGCCUGAAGCGUUAGGAGGAUUAAUU
rnacentral:tRNA from 1 species